GACCGCGCUCCCCUUCGCGUGGUUUUUUUUUCACCGUGGGGAAUUCUACCUGCCCACGCGUACCCACCCAACCCCGCCCGUCUAUCACGCCGCCGCCCCAUCGCGACGCGCCUCCCCGACGAGGCGAUGACGCCGCCUCCCAUCGACGCCCCCUCCUCCCUCGCAACACCGCCUCCCCCCGACGCCCUCCGCCCCAACUCGCAUCCCUUGCCAGAUCUGCAUCGCCGCGGUGUUGCCCGGCCGGCGUGCGCUGCGCGUAGCUGCCCUCAGGGCCGGCGGUCCGGUGGCCGUGCGUUGCGGCCGGCUGAUCCGGCGUCCGCGCCCGGCGUGCGGCCCUGCCGCCGUUCGCUUCCCUCAGAGGCGGCGGACCUUAGGGCCGCGCGCCGUGGGGGAAGGGCGCGUCCGCCGUCCAGCGCUCCAGGGCGGGCCGCGUGCGGCGCUGCAGGGCGGCCGGCUUGCCGUGCGCCCUCCGCGCAGGACUGGGCUCGGCGAGCAGAUCCAGCAGCGUGCGGCGGCGGCGGGGCGGGCCCGCGGCAAGCAGCACGAGCAGCGCGGCGGCGACUCUGGGGCGCGGCGAGUGGCGCCCGCAGUCAGCGGCGGUGGCUCGGGUCCGCACCGAGCAGAGGUUAGUGACCUGCUUACCGGCCGGGAGCUCUCGAGGUAGGGCAGGAAGCGGCAGGCGGCAGCAUGGCGGAAUAUCCCAGGGGUGCGCGGUGGCUUUGACCGCUCCGCCUGAUGAGCACAGCCGCGGCAGGCCGGAUCCAUGGGAACCAUCGCCGACAGCCUACGAUCUGCUCCCAUGGCCACAGUUUAUCCAUGGUAUGUAUCAUGUCGAACUCUGGAGAAAAUUCUGCCAGUUCACGGACGGGUGGGGCAUCCUCUUGUGAUAUAUGUGCAUCUAUCAUCUGGAGUUGAAGGUAUGUAUCUGAUUUUUGUGUGGGAUUUGCUGGUACACAUGAUAAUUUGUCAAUUCGUUUCUCCAUUCUAAGCACAGGUUCUAAUGGGACGACAAUGGUUGGGGCCAUCAUCUUCUGAUCUAUCUAGCUUAUCAAGAAAUAUGUAUCAAACCUUCUCUUAGUUUUGGCCACCGAUCAUAUUGUGCAGAUUUACUUUGUUGUUUUGAUCUGUAUUACUAUGGUGGGAAAAGGUGCCAUUUUUGGGGAUUGGAAUUCAAUGUGGUCUAUGUAUUAUUUUAACAGAUAUGUAAUUGCUUGCAAAUAGAAAUGAAAGGUUGAAUGCUUAAUUUUUUGGUUAGGGUUUCAUUUUAGUGCACAAAUUUCAUCUUCCCUAAACAUUUUCUGAAUGAAAGAACACGUUAGUUGAUAUGUUUAACAAUAAUAAUUGUUGCCCAUUGCCAUUAUAAGAAUGCUACAAUAUUACCAUUGGUCCAUUGAUUUUAUAAUAAUGCUACGAACAUUUAUUAGAAUCAUUUGAUGUGGCAGGCAGGUAGCAGCGGCGCACCCAGGCCACCGAUGGCCCCAAAACCAAGCAACAUUUGAUGACGACCACAAGCUUAGCCACUGCACCGUCAGCAGUCCACCGGUCAAUCAUCCCCGUUCUCAGAAUCCUCUUCCUCCGCUCCAUACCUAAAGGUUCCGAAGACUUCCUAACUCAUAACAAGUGGAGUUAUGGCAGCCAUUGAAUCAACUAUGAUGCAAUUCUAUUUUUUUUAAUAUUUCUUGCUUCUGAAAUAAAACAUGUACUCAAUAUAGGAAUAUUUUACUGCUGCCGCUUGCCUGCAUCAAUCAGAGAGCAGGUGGAGAAAGGGAGGAAGAUAUCAUUGCUGUAUUUCAUUUGUUUACAUGAUGUUACUUACAAAGCUUCAGGGCGUUGCUUAAUUUCAUCAUCUGACAUUUAUUCAAUUCAUUGCGAAAUUUCUGUCUAA